ensembl:misc_RNA Metazoa_SRP Metazoan signal recognition particle RNA
GCUGGGCAUGGGGGCGCACGCCUGUAGUCCGGGCUACUUGGGAGGCUGAGAGGGGAGGAUGGCUUGAGCCCAGGAGGUUGAGGCUGCAGUGAGCUGUGAUUACAUCACUGCACUCCAGCCUGGGCAAAACAGUGAGACCCUGUCUCUA